UUGAAUCGAGAGCACAAUGCCGAUCAGUUGUCAGGAUAUUUUUCGUUCGGUGUUUAUUGCCCGUAGGUGGAUAAAAAGGGAAAAUGUCCGUCAAUUGGGAGUUAUAUCUGCGAGAGAUCCGUAAACGGGACAAAUUACCUCUGUUGUGCAGCAACCGGGCGAGAACAAAGCGAACACCUGUUGUACCUGUGAGACCCGGUGAUUUAUUUGUCGACAGUUAGAAAAGAAGAAUCGUCGAUUGUUAAACAUUCUAUUCGAGAUCAUUGGGAUAACAUUAAACGAAAUGUUGAAAGCAAGAAAAAUAAAUGUUUGCUCAUACAGAUCCUAGGAAUUAGAGCUUCAAGAACAGAAGACAGAUAAUAGCGUACCAGUUUAGUACGUGUUGUAUAUAGCAAAUUGCGGUACGACGGCAAAGGAAAAUGGUCCACAUAAAGUUUAAUUGAAAGGAACCGGAUACCAAUCGUGGAAAUAGAGAAAUCUUCGAGUCGUCGGAGAACAAAGAAAUUUAAUUGACGAAACACAAAAUCUCGCUGGUAUCAACACAAAUUACAUCGAAUAGUGCAUGAAAUUCAUACAAUUUCUAGCUACACAUAUUCCUGAGUAUACACAAACCACAAAAAAGGAAAAAAUAUUAAUAGAAUUCACUACAAUUAAUAUCAAUCUUCAAUACAUCUAUCUUUUAUCCAAUGAAACUCCCAACGUUUCCAACAACCUUUCGCCUAAUUUCCUUUAUCAUGUCAAGUAACAGUUAAUAAAUUUCUGAAACACAUCGAAAACGAUUUUCCAAAGUAUACCAAACGUCGAUCAACGCGAAACUUUCCAGCCGGAGGCCAGGUCGUAUGCCAUUCACGCAAUUAAGAGGAAAAAAUUGACUUUGUAAACCGUGUUAUCCAAGCGGCGU